rnacentral:misc_RNA from 1 species
UGUGACCUUUCCAGACAAUGGCAAAGAAGUUUAGGAAAGUGACUUGCCCAUAUAAAAGGAACUUUCCUAAACAUUUGUGAUUCAAUUUUUGCAACUUGAUAAAAACUUUUCAAGAACUCUUGCAAAGGCUCUACAAAGUAAAGGCAGAAUUAUUCCAAGAACAACAACAAUAUCUUGAGCUUUUCGUCUAGUUGUUUAGGAAUACAUUCUCU